rnacentral:rRNA from 1 species
GGAACUGAAGAUUUGGUGAUUGAGUGGCGGACGGGUGAGUAACGCGUGGGUAACCUGCCCUGUACAGGGGGAUAACAGUCAGAAAUGACUGCUAAUACCGCAUAAGACCACAGCACCGCAUGGUGCAGGGGUAAAAACUCCGGUGGUACAGGAUGGACCCGCGUCUGAUUAGCUGGUUGGUGAGGUAACGGCUCACCAAGGCGACGAUCAGUAGCCGGCUUGAGAGAGUGAACGGCCACAUUGGGACUGAGACACGGCCCAAACUCCUACGGGAGGCAGCAGUGGGGAAUAUUGCACAAUGGGGGAAACCCUGAUGCAGCGACGCCGCGUGAGUGAAGAAGUAUCUCGGUAUGUAAAGCUCUAUCAGCAGGGAAGAAAAUGACGGUACCUGACUAAGAAGCCCCGGCUAACUACGUGCCAGCAGCCGCGGUAAUACGUAGGGGGCAAGCGUUAUCCGGAAUUACUGGGUGUAAAGGGUGCGUAGGUGGUAUGGCAAGUCAGAAGUGAAAACCCAGGGCUUAACUCUGGGACUGCUUUUGAAACUGUCAGACUGGAGUGCAGGAGAGGUAAGCGGAAUUCCUAGUGUAGCGGUGAAAUGCGUAGAUAUUAGGAGGAACAUCAGUGGCGAAGG